rnacentral:rRNA from 1 species
ACACAUGCAAGUCGAACGAGAAAUCUUUAGCUUGCUAGAGAAAGUAAGUGGCGCACGUGGUGAGUAACGCGUGGGUAAUCUGCCUCCGAAUCGGGGAUAACAUUGCGAAAGCGAUGCUAAUACCGGAUAAAAUCUGGUUGGCUUAUGUGAACCGGAUCNAAUGUGGUCUCUUUAUAAAAGCUACCGUUUGGAGAUGAGCUCGCGUACCAUUAGCUAGUUGGUGAUGUAAAGGCUCACCAAUGCGACGAUGGUUAGCUGGUCUGAGAGGAUGAUCAGCCACACCGGAACUGGAACACGGUCCGGACUCCUACGGGAGGCAGCAGUGAGGAAUUUUGCGCAAUGGGGGAAACCCUGACGCAGCAACGCCGCGUGAGUGAUGAAGGCUUUCGGGUCGUAAAGCUCUGUCAGGUGGGAAGAACCCACCAAGUGUUAAGACCACUUGGUGCUGACGGUACCACCGAAGGAAGCACCGGCUAACUCCGUGCCAGCAGCCGCGGUAAUACGGGGGGUGCGAGCGUUAUUCGGAAUCAUUGGGCGUAAAGGGCGCGCAGGCGGUUUUGUAAGUCAGAUGUGAAAUCCCGGGGCUUAACCCCGGAAGUGCAUAUGAAACUAUGAGACUUGAGUAUGGGAGAGGGAAGCGGAAUUCCUGGUGUAGCGGUGAAAUGCGUAGAUAUCAGGAGGAACACCGGUGGCGAAGGCGGCUUCCUGGACCAAUACUGACGCUGAGGCGCGAAGGCGUGGGGAGCGAACCGGAUUAGAUACCCUGGUAGUCCACGCAGUAAACGUUGAUCACUAGGUGUAGCGGGUAUUGACCCCUGCUUGUGCCGGAAUUAACGCAUUAAGUGAUCCGCAUGGGGGAGUACGGAUCCGCAAAGAUUAAAACUCAAAGGAAUUGACGGGUGCCCGCACAAGCGGUGGAGCAUGUGGUUUAAUUCGACGCAACGCGAAGAACCUUACCUGGACUUGACCUCUCGGGGAAUCCCGUUGAAAGACGGGAGUGCCUUUAACGAGGGAUCCGAUGACAGGUGCUGCAUGGCUGUCGUCAGCUCGUGUCGUGAG